AGGUCGUCGUUUUCAUGAUUGACCGGAUCUUGCUGUCCGAGACCUCAACUCCGGCGAGAAAUCUCCGGCGAACCAGAGGACCCCACGACCACUUAAUUCGCCACUGAAUGCGCCUCGUCGUGGCACAUCGAUAGGAGGAAAUCGAGGUCGCCAAGGUUCCCAUCGUCUUAGGGCAUUUCCAACCGGCCGAGGCAAAUGCACAUUAAGCGACCGUUUGCCUCUGUUCGCGCCCAAAAUGCGUCUAGUACUAUCUCCACUCGAGCGGAUCGGACCCUCCGCAACAAUGAAAUGUGGCCCAAAUAUAAAGCAGGUUUGCGUCUCUACGCACAUUACACGGACGCACCGGUCGUCCGCUUGGUCAAUGCAUGGGACCACUUGGUAGGGGCAUAGAUGAUUCGUCUUUCGCGACAUUACUUACAGAUGGCGCGCUGCCGCUUUUCUAGGCCGCAU